AUGGCCAUGCCUCGUGCCAAGGCUACCGCUGCCGCCAACGGCGAGGUAUGGGUGGAGAAGGUCGACAGGAUCAGGUUCGUCUACAACGCCAUCACCAAGCCGUCGGUGUACGUGAAUCCAAGGGCGGCGACCAUGACGACGAGGCCGGUAGCCGAGUUCGCCAUCUCCAGGGAGAAGAUCGACGACUACAUCGCGAGGAAGAAGAAGCAGUUUGCUCAGGAAGCCUAG
rnacentral:rRNA from 1 species